rnacentral:rRNA from 1 species
UACGUAGGGUGCGAGCGUUAAUCGGAAUUACUGGGCGUAAAGCGUGCGCAGGCGGUUUUAUAAGCCAGAUGUGAAAGCCCCGGGCUCAACCUGGGAAUGGCAUUUGGGACUGUAAGGCUGGAGUAUGGCAGAGGGGACUAGAAUUCCUGGUGUAGCAGUGAAAUGCGUAGAUAUCAGGAGGAACACCAGUGGCGAAGGCGGCAUCCUGGACCGGCAUUGACGCUGAGGCGCGAAAGCUAGGGUAGCAAACGGG